AUACAUAGGGGGCAAGCGUUAUCCGGAAUUACUGGGCGUAAAGGGCGCGCAGGCGGAUAUUUAAGUCAGCUGUAAAAGGCAUGAGCUCAACUCAUGUAUGCGGUUGAAACUGGGUAUCUAGAGUGCUGGAGAGGUAGGCGGAAUUCCCGGGGUAGCGGUGAAAUGCGUAGAUAUCGGGAAGAACACCAGUGGCGAAGGCGGCUUACUGGCCAGCAACUGACGCAAAGGCGCGAAAGCCAGGGGAGCGAACGGGAUUAGAUACCCCGGUAGUCCUGGCCGUAAACGAUGAAUGCUAGGUGUGGGUGUCGAGAGGCAUCCGUGCCGGAGUUAACGCGAUAAGCAUUCCGCCUGGGGAGUACGAUCGCAAGAUUGAAACUUAAAGGAAUUGACGGGG
rnacentral:rRNA from 1 species